UGGGGAAUAUUGCACAAUGGGGGAAACCCUGAUGCAGCGACGCCUCGUGAGCGAAGAAGGUUUUCGAAUCGUAAAGCUCUGUCCUAUGGGAAGAUAAUGACGGUACCAUAGGAGGAAGCCCCGGCUAACUACGUGCCAGCAGCCGCGGUAAUACGUAGGGGGCAAGCGUUGUCCGGAAUCACUGGGCGUAAAGGGUUCGCAGGCGGAAAUGCAAGUCAGUUGUGAAAGGCAGAGGCUCAACCUCUGUAAGCAAUUGAAACUGUAUUUCUUGAGAUGUGGAGAGGCAAGUGGAAUUCCUAGUGUAGCGGUGAAAUGCGUAGAUAUUAGGAAGAAUACCGGUGGCGAAGGCGACUUGCUGGACACAAACUGACGCUGAGGAACGAAAGCGUGGGUAGCAAACAGG
rnacentral:rRNA from 1 species